AUGUGGUGCUGAGGAUCGAACCCGGGCUGCACGCAUGCCAGGAUUUGGAGGAAUUAAUCCUUCCAUUGCUAUCUCAAAAGGUGAUCUGGACAGUGGAACAGAGACCUCUCAAUCAGGGGUUGCAAUUGCAAAUGCCUGCAGGAACCACAUGGGGUAAAUGUGUGAGAUGGUUCUGGUAUUCAUUCUCCUUUUUCUUGAAGCACUAUCUUUUGUUAUUUUUUUUUUUUUUCAUUUUCUUUUUUAUCUACCUUUGAUAGAGAUGUUAGAAGAAAGUUUAUUGUGAAAUAUAACAAAUGUGAUGGUAAGGGCAACUUAUGCUUCUAAGAGGAUGGGGAGUGUUUGGGAUUGUGGUUAUUAACUGGAACAUUCACCAUUCAUCUAAAGGGGGGGGACGGUUUGUUGAUACUUGGGCCUAGGGAUGCCAGGAUUUCUGGCUCUUUAUAAGAACAAUCUUGGGCUGGGGAUGUGGCUCAAGCGGUAGUGUGCUCGCCUGGCAUG